AUCCCGGUCAGUAUAAAUAGCAGGUGGUCAACUGAGAGGUCAUUCAUUCGACCUCCUCUGCAGUGUCAAGAAUCCUCGCUUGCCCCGCCCACCAAUCACCAUGAACAAGUCUCUGAUGCUCGUGUUGAUCCCCUGCCUGGUGGCUUAUGUCAUGGCCCAGUAUUACCAGCCUGGAUACGGUGGUAUGGCUGGAUACGGUGGUGGAUAUGGGCCUGGAACUUACUACAACUACGCCGCGCAGAGCGCCCAAGGAGCCAAGACUAGCAACUUGUUGAACUAUGGUCUUCUCUUCUUCGCCAUCCUCAUCCUGACCAAUGCCACUGGAAGUAUCACUGGUUAAACGUAGUUAACAGAAGCUGACAUGCAUCUUACACAAGAAAUCAAAUGAAUUCCACAGACGUCCUGUUAUAGCUGAUAUUGCGCGAUAUAUUUUGUGUUGCUAUGAAUAAAACUGUAUUUACAUAAAACUA
rnacentral:lncRNA from 1 species